ACGGGAGGCAGCAGUGGGGAAUAUUGCACAAUGGGGGAAGCCCUGAUGCAGCGACGCCGCGUGAGUGAAGAAGUAUUUCGGUAUGUAAAGCUCUAUCAGCAAGGAAGAAAAUGACGGUACUUGACUAAGAAGCCCCGGCUAACUACGUGCCAGCAGCCGCGGUAAUACGUAGGGGGCAAGCGUUAUCCGGAUUUACUGGGUGUAAAGGGAGCGUAGACGGUGAGGCAAGUCUGAAGUGAAAUGCAUGGGCUCAACCCAUGAACUGCUUUGGAAACUGUCUGACUAGAGUGCAGGAGAGGUAAGUGGAAUUCCUAGUGUAGCGGUGAAAUGCGUAGAUAUUAGGAGGAACACCAGUGGCGAAGGCGGCUUACUAGACUGUAACUGACGUUGAGGCUCGAAAGCGUGGGGAGCAAACAGGAUUAGAUACCCUGGUA
rnacentral:rRNA from 1 species